AUUAGAAUUGGUGUUGUCCUUCGUCUAUUUCGAGAUCUACGCUUGGAUCUCUUGCUAGCCUAUAUAUCUUACACUGGUGUGGUAUUAGAAUCAAAGAUGUCUUAGGCAAUUAAAAGUAGGAGAAAUAUAGAUCUAAAUCCCAUUGAUUCACAUGUAGAUAAUAUUUCAGUACAUUUGAUUGAUAGUUUUUGUGCUGGUAUCUAUUGCUAUUGGUAGUCAUGAAAAGUGCAAUAACUUUCCCUUUUUGGCUGACUAGAAAGCCAGAGACACUUCAAAUCCUUGUUGCCGUUCCUCACAAAGAUAGACUACAAUAAGAUGCUAAAACUUGAGCCAGCUACAAACAAUGCAAUGCAAGAUCUCUUAGAUGAAUCGUUAAGGCAUAACGUCUGCAGAUUUUGUCGUGGAAGGCCUGUCAACUGGCGACUAGUUUGUUGUGGACAUGUUUCUUGUGACACCUGCCUGGCUUCUCGUCUAUCGUGUGAGUGUUGUGCGACCUACAAGCAAUGCAGACCACUAAACAAUAUUU
rnacentral:sRNA from 1 species